GUUCUCGGGGACUGUACCAGGCUCCUGGCCCUUCCAUGUGGGCUUCUCCCCCAUCUCUCCUUCUUGGAUGCCAUGAGUUGAGCAGCUUUCCUCUGCUACACUUUGCAACAUGAUGUUUUUGCCCUGCAAGCAGCCAACCAUGGACUGAAACACCUGGAACCGUUUCCAGAUGAAGUGAUUUGUGCAUUCUGUUGAGGAAACCAAGCAGGGCUGAGGAUGGGUGGUAAUAGCAUUGCAUCUCAUCACCACUCUUACUGGGACAAGAAGCACGAGGUAUUAAAGAAAAGGGAAUGAUGACUUCUCAUGAAGCCAUUCAGGAACAUCAGAGAAUAUACCUGAAGUGUUUUUAUAUCUUGGCAAAGAUGACUAAGGACAGACAAGGUCUCUAGAGGAACAAAAUCAGCAGAAAACAGGCAAGGGUCUUCAGCUAGGCUUCUGGGAGGAGAGCGGACCCUCCACGAUGGCGUCCCCCAGCCAGCUGACUUCCUCCUCCUUCCCCCAGUCCAUCAGCUUCAAGCUUAUUGGAUGACGCCCCCCACAGGCAGGGUUGUCUCCCCAUCAGCAUCAGCAUGCCCGCCCGGUGCCAACUGUCUCAGGGGUACACCCGGAAGUGCGCUACCCCAAGCUGCAAGGCAUUUCUUAAUCUGGCCAAGGCGACAAUCACAAUUCCAG
rnacentral:lncRNA from 1 species